CCCGAAUGCUCGGCGUGGGGACCCAGCAGAGCAGCGCUGGCGGCGGUGCUGCCCCGGGUAGUGACGGCCCCACCGGACCGGUUCUGAUCCUGCUGGGCCCCCACGGGGGAUUUGCACAGCCUGCACCCCGGGGCAGCACAGGGCAGGGCAGCACGUCCAGCACUGCAAAUCAUGGAUGCGCAGAAGCAUUCAUGCUGGAGACCUCCAAGAUCCCCAUGUCCAACCUCAGCCCACCCCCACCAUGCCCACCGACCACAUCCCCCAGCGCCACAUCCUAACGGUCCUCCAACACACGCAUGGACCGACUGGAAGCAGAAAGUACUGUGCAUUAGAAUGGAUGGUGAGCAGAACAGCGAGACAGGAAGCUGAAGGCAUUGGGAACACACCCCGCUCUGGGGAUGGAGGUGAUGGUGCACACUGAGCUGUGUUCCUCUUCUGGUUGAUUCUGCUUCUGGUUUGUAAACCAGGACUUUGAAUCAUAGAAUGAUUGAAUGGUUGGGUUGGAAGAGACCUUAACCAUCAUAGAGCCAUAGGAUGGUUGGGUUGGAAGGGUCCUUAAAGGUCACAGAGCCAUAGGAUGGUUGGGAUGGAAGGGUCCUUAAAGGUCACAGAGCCAUAGGAUGGUUGGGUUGGAGAUCACCUGGCACCUCCAUGGUGCAGAACAUGAGGCUGACAGCGGUUCUUCUGGGGAAAGGUACAUCUGCCAACACGAUGUGGCCUCACAUUGUGCCCAGGGAGGGUCAGGUUCAGUACUGGGAACAGUUUCUUCCCUGAAGAGCAGUCAGGCAUUGGCACAGCGGCCCAGGGGUGGGGGGCACUGUCCUGGGGGUGUUCCAGAGCCGCACACCGCAGCGGGCAGCCCAGGGUUGGGUGGGUGAUCCCGACCUUCUUAAGGUGGGUUUUCCAGUCUGUCUCUUUCUGGUGGCCAUCCAAGAGAUUCUGCCUGAACUUUGCAGUUCAUUUCAGACUCCUGCAUCUCAUCUUUCCUUGUCGCUGAUUUUAUUCGACCUUCCUCUUUCCAAGGAACCGAAGCCUUCGUAGCACUACGCCUGCACAUCCCUGCCAGGAUCCCCACUGCUCUGUCUGGGCCAAUUGCUGCUGCUGACUGAGCAGUAAUUUCUCCAACGGAGAAAAGCAAAGCACUGAAGCCAGUGUCUGUGUGUACCCGUCCACGUAAGUGCAUUUAUGAGCACAGACCAAAGCUGCUGCCUCAGCUCCACGGCCUCGGGAGUGCAGGAUGUGCACAUGGAGCUCCAGUGGCCGUAACAGCACCCAUCCCGUGCUGACGGCUGGGCAAUGCUGCUUGCCCUGGAGCAAACACAUCGACAGCCAACCCAGCGAGGAGCCGGCAGGGUUAAACGCGACGCUGGGAAGAGUCAGAGGCUUUUGUAAACAGAAUAGUGACUCACAUCGGCAGAGAGGGCUCCGAAAGCACAAACACACACAGGUGAGGCUGCUGUCAGCACAGCACAGCACAGCACACGUGGGAUUCUGGAAGCUCUCAUCGUGACCCCCAGAAAAGGCUUUAUUGUUUCCUACAGAACUGCUCACAGUGGGCAGGGAUGGGAAGGAAACAUCGCUGUGCUGCUCAGCCCUGCACGGGGACAGUGGCUGCGGGCUCUUCUCUUUGGGCAUCUCCCGCCCCACUCUGCUCUGGGGGGCCCUGAUGGGGCGGAGGGGACCGGAGGGACCCCGAGGGGUUCCAUCCUGAGCCACACUGCGGGUCUGUGGAGCUCUGGAGGAACGCAUACAGACCAAAGGAGGGAGGCAGAGGGGGCGGGGGGGGCCGUCCCCCAGUCACCCCAACAGCCACUGAGCGCCCCAAACUGCCACGGCCCCUCCCGGAGGAUGGGGAACGUGGUGGGAGAGGCUGAUGGGCUGAGAGGAGCGCGGGAGAUCGGCCGAGGGCAGAACAUCACGGGGAGCAGAUGGGAUUUGGCGACCGCUGCAGGCAGGCUGGGAAGUGAGGACGGAAGGCAGGGGACGCGUCCUUCCCAAACGGACCCUCGGGGGCUUCCCACGGCCGCAGCUCUCCGAGCGCCGCCCCAGCACAGCUCCGUACCGCAGGGCUCACCCUCGGGGCGCUGCCCCCGCACCGCGCCCAC
ensembl:lncRNA